GAACGCAUAUUGCGCUCUCUGGUAUUCCGGAGAGUAUGCCUAUUUGAGGGUCAUUUGAAACAUAAAUUCUAGAUUUUUUAGAAAAAAAUGGGUCUUCCAGAUUUGGUGACCUAAAAUACAAGACAUGCUCAUUUUUUGGGUUACGUGAUACUUUUUCGUGGCUUUCCGAGAAAUGUGUAGGCGUGUUGUAGUUUUGCAAAAGCGAAUAGAAAUUGUUUCUGCAAAAUAGAAGAAAUUGAUCUUGACCUCAAAUUAGGUAGGAGUACCCGCUGAACUUAAG
rnacentral:misc_RNA from 1 species